rnacentral:rRNA from 1 species
UACGUAGGUGGCAAGCGUUACUCGGAAUCACUGGGCAUAAAGGGCGUGUAGGCGGACGUAUAAGUCCGGUGUAAAAGCCCCCGGCUCAACCGGGGAAUGCCAUCGGAUACUGUGCGUCUCGAGUGCGGGAGGGGAGAGUGGAACUCUUGGUGGAGCGGUGAAAUGCGUAGAUAUCAAGAGGAACGCCGGUGGCGAAAGCGGCUCUCUGGCCCGUUACUGACGCUGAGGCGCGAAAGCCAGGGGAGCAAACGGG